CGGCUGGCGGCGUGCCUAAUACAUGCAAGUCGAACGCACUCUCGUUUAGAUUGAAGGAGCUUGCUCCUGAUUGAUAAACAUUUGAGUGAGUGGCGGACGGGUGAGUAACACGUGGGUAACCUGACCCUAAGUGGGGGAUAACAUUUGGAAACAGAUGCUAAUACCGCAAUAAAACCUAACACCGCAUGGUGUAGGGUUGAAAGAUGGUUUCGGCUAUCACUUUAGGAUGGACCCGCGGUGCAUUAGUUAGUUGGUGAGGUAAAGGCUCACCAAGACCGUGAUGCAUAGCCGACCUGAGAGGGUAAUCGGCCACACUGGGACUGAGACACGGCCCAGACUCCUACGGGAGGCAGCAGUAGGGAAUCUUCCACAAUGGACGAAAGUCUGAUGGAGCAACGCCGCGUGAGUGAAGAAGGUUUUCGGAUCGUAAAACUCUGUUGUUGGAGAAGAAUGUAUCUGAUAGUAACUGAUCAGGUAGUGACGGUAUCCAACCAGAAAGCCACGGCUAACUACGUG
rnacentral:rRNA from 1 species